UACGAAGGGUGCUAGCGUUGUUCGGAAUUACUGGGCGUAAAGCGCGUGUAGGCGGUUCGGAAAGUCGGGUGUGAAAGCCCUGGGCUCAACCCAGGAAGUGCACUCGAAACUCCCGAGCUAGAGUCCUGGAGAGGAAGGCGGAAUUCUCGGUGUAGAGGUGAAAUUCGUAGAUAUCGAGAGGAACAUCGGUGGCGAAGGCGGCCUUCUGGACAGCGACUGACGCUGAGACGCGAAAGCGUGGGGAGCAAACAGG
rnacentral:rRNA from 1 species